rnacentral:rRNA from 1 species
CCAUGCAUGCCUCAGUACAUGGCCUUUAUAUGGUGAAACCGCGAAUGGCUCAUUAAAUCAGCUAUGGUUCCUUGGAUCAUAAUAAUACUACACGGAUAACUGUAGUAAUUCUAGAGCUAAUACGUGCCUCGAUGCCCUGAUCCGCAAGGUGAGGGGUGCAUUUAUUAGAUUGCAAACCAAACGGGUUCGCUCGUGGCUUGUGAUGACUCUGGAUAAUUUUGUAUGAUCGCAGCUGGCCUUGUUGUCGGCGAUGGAUCCAUCAAAUAUCUGCCCUAUCAACUUUCGAUGGUAGGUGACAUGCCUACCAUGGUGAUGACGGGUAACGGGGAAUCAGGGUUCGAUUCCGGAGAGGGAGCCUGAGAAACGGCUACCACAUCCAAGGAAGGCAGCAGGCGCGCAAAUUACCCACUCUCUGAACGAGGAGGUAGUAAAGACAAAUAUCGAUACAGAACUCGCAAGAGGCUCUGUAAUCGAAAUGAGUGCAUUUUAAAUCCUACAACGAGGAUCUAUUGGAGGGCAAGUCUGGUGCCAGCAGCCGCGGUAACUCCAGCUCCAAUAGCAUAUAUUAAAGUUGCUGCAGUUAAAAAGCUCGUAGUUGGAUCUGGGCUUCGCUACGAUUGCCAGCUGUUGUCGGUUUUGCUUCGGUAAGACUGGCAGGUUGGUACAUUCGAGCGUUGCUUCGUAGCUGUGUCCAGGUGUCUUCACGGACGCUUGGAUGGCGUUGGGUGUCUGGGGCGACUCCUUAAACGGGGGUUGUUCCGGCUCAGCGCUAUGUGCCGCGAUGCCCUUCACUGGGUGUC